rnacentral:rRNA from 1 species
AGUGAACGCUGGCGGUAGGCCUAACACAUGCAAGUCGAACGGCAGCACAGUAAGAGCUUGCUCUUGCGGGUGGCGAGUGGCGGACGGGUGAGGAAUACAUCGGAAUCUACUUUUUCGUGGGGGAUAACGUAGGGAAACUUACGCUAAUACCGCAUACGACCUACGGGUGAAAGCAGGGGAUCUUCGGACCUUGCGCGAUUGAAUGAGCCGAUGUCGGAUUAGCUAGUUGGCGGGGUAAAGGCCCACCAAGGCGACGAUCCGUAGCUGGUCUGAGAGGAUGAUCAGCCACACUGGAACUGGGACACGGUCCAGACUCCUACGGGAGGCAGCAGUGGGGAAUAUUGGACAAUGGGCGCAAGCCUGAUCCAGCCAUACCGCGUGGGUGAAGAAGGCCUUCGGGUUGUAAAGCCCUUUUGUUGGGAAAGAAAAGCAGCAGGUUAAUACCCCGCUGUUCUGACGGUACCCAAAGAAUAAGCACCGGCUAACUUCGUG